GGGCGCAGCCUGAUGCAGCCAUGCCGCGUGUAUGAAGAAGGCCUUCGGGUUGUAAAGUACUUUCAGCGGGGAGGAAGGCGAUAAGGUUAAUAACCUUGUCGAUUGACGUUACCCGCAGAAGAAGCACCGGCUAACUCCGUGCCAGCAGCCGCGGUAAUACGGAGGGUGCAAGCGUUAAUCGGAAUUACUGGGCGUAAAGCGCACGCAGGCGGUCUGUCAAGUCGGAUGUGAAAUCCCCGGGCUCAACCUGGGAACUGCAUUCGAAACUGGCAGGCUAGAGUCUUGUAGAGGGGGGUAGAAUUCCAGGUGUAGCGGUGAAAUGCGUAGAGAUCUGGAGGAAUACCGGUGGCGAAGGCGGCCCCCUGGACAAAGACUGACGCUCAGGUGCGAAAGCGUGGGGAGCAAACAGGAUUAGAAACCUAGG
rnacentral:rRNA from 1 species